rnacentral:sRNA from 1 species
CACCACGCGCCCCAUAGGCUCCGCUGCUGACCUCUGCAAGCUGGCCAUGAUCCAUGUCUUCACUGCAGUGGCUGCUUCCCGCACCUUGACGGCCAGGCUGGUGGCCCAGAUCCAUGAUGAGCUGCUGUUUGAAGUGGAAGAUCCGCAGAUCCCGGAGUGUGCAGCUCUCGUCAGGAGGACCAUGGAGUCCUUGGAACAGGUGCAGGCAUUGGAGCUGCAGCUUCAGGUACCCCUCAAGGUGAGCCUGAGUGCCGGCCGCUCAUGGGGACACCUGGUGCCACUGCAGGAGGUCUGGGGCCCUCCGCCAGGCCCAUGUCGCACUGAGUCUCCCAGCAACAGCCUGGCUACCCCCGGGUCCCCUGUCAGCACCCAGCCCCCACCCCCGCAUUUUUCGCCUUCAUUUUGUCUGUAGCCCCAGGCAACAGUGGGAGGAGAGAACUGGUUUCCAGCAGUCCAUUGUGUGGCCUUCCCCAAGGUCACCAGCUCUGCACGCCCCAGGACGCAUUAACCCUUUGGGGCUGGGGUGGCCUGUCAUCCCCUGGAGUAAAUGCCUGUGCAAAGCCCUC